rnacentral:rRNA from 1 species
CCCCUACGGGAGGCAGCAGUAAGGGAUAUUGGUCAAUGGGGGAAACCCUGAACCAGCAACGCCGCGUGAGGGAAGACGGUUUUCGGAUUGUAAACCUCUGUCCUCUGUGAAGAUGAUGACGGUAGCAGAGGAGGAAGCUCCGGCUAACUACGUGCCAGCAGCCGCGGUAAUACGUAGGGAGCGAGCGUUGUCCGGAUUUACUGGGUGUAAAGGGUGCGUAGGCGGCUUGGCAAGUCCGGAGUGAAAGCCCACGGCCCAACCGUGGGACUGCUCUGGAAACUGUGCGGCUUGAGUGCGGGAGGGGG